rnacentral:rRNA from 1 species
AACGAACGCUGGCGGCAUGCCUAACACAUGCAAGUCGAACGAUCCCUUCGGGGAUAGUGGCGCACGGGUGCGUAACGCGUGGGAACCUGCCCUUAGGUUCGGAAUAACUCAGAGAAAUUUGAGCUAAUACCGGAUAAUGUCUUCGGACCAAAGAUUUAUCGCCUUUGGAUGGGCCCGCGUUGGAUUAGCUAGUUGGUGGGGUAAAGGCCUACCAAGGCGACGAUCCAUAGCUGGUCUGAGAGGAUGAUCAGCCACACUGGGACUGAGACACGGCCCAGACUCCUACGGGAGGCAGCAGUGGGGAAUAUUGGACAAUGGGCGAAAGCGUGAUCCAGCAAUGCCGCGUGAGUGAUGAAGGCCUUAGGGUUGUAAAGCUCUUUUACCCGGGAUGAUAAUGACAGUACCGGGAGAAUAAGCCCCGGCUAACUACGUG